GAUGAAGAACGCAGCGAAAUGCGAUAAGUAAUGUGAAUUGCAGAAUUCAGUGAAUCAUCGAAUCUUUGAACGCACAUUGCGCCCCCUGGUAUUCCGGGGGGCAUGCCUGUUCGAGCGUCAUUUCACCACUCAAGCCUCGCUUGGUAUUGGGCAACGCGGUCCGCCGCGUGCCUCAAAUCGACCGGCUGGGUCUUCUGUCCCCUAAGCGUUGUGGAAACUAUUCGCUAAAGGGUGCUCGGGAGGCUACGCCGUAAAACAAACCCAUUUCUAAGGUUGACCUCGGAUCAGGUAGGGAUACCCGCUGAACUUAAGCAUAGCAAUAAGCGGAGGA
rnacentral:misc_RNA from 1 species